CCUUAGCGCUAAACCUCCUCACAGAACCCGACAGAGUGUCUGGACCUUUAGCUAUCUUCCUCUUAGCUUGGCCUGGACAACAUACAGCAUAUCCACUUGAUUCAAGAAGAGCUGAUCCUGGUGUCUACCUGCUAUCAACGGAAGCCUCAAGGGGGCACCUUUGUCUAUUGGGAUCAUCUCUUUAUGGACACAAUUUGGUGACUUUUAACAUGUAUUUAAAGUGGCAUUGAUGCAAGGGAGGAGAGCACUAUAUAAAUCACUGUUAAGACUUCACCUUAAGUAUGGAGUGCAGUUCUGGGGACCAAUCUCAAAAAAAUACAUUGCAGACUUAGAACAAGUUCAGAGAAGGGCCACAAAGCUAAUAAGGGGGGUGACAUGAUUAGCGUACGAAGAGAGAAGCACUCUACCAGGAACAAACAACAGCUCAUCAGCUAGUUCUAUGGCGAUUUACCACCCAGGAGCAGCCUCUUUUAGACCAGUGUGCUUUUCACCCAGGAAAACUUUCCUGUAGUAUAUCAGUCUGAUCCCGCCAAGCAAGGUCAGUCCAGCCCCGAAAUACCAGGCAAUUCUCCUCUGAACAAGGAACACAGCAACCCCAGAUGAUCGUUUCGGCCUCCUAUGGACCACGUCAGUGAGGUGCAGCCACAUUCCUCAUGAUUAAUUUAUAUAAAUACAUUCAAGGCCCAUAUACAGAGAUGGCGGAAACCCUGUUUAUUCCAAGAAAAUUGUUUGUGACAAGAGGUCACAAUUUAAUAUUUAAACAUUCAUUUUUCAUGUUGAGUUAUUCUAUGAGGGUAAAAUGUUAACGUGGUUGUGAUAUUAGAAGUUCAGCUUUUUGUGUGCAUUGGGUUAGCGCUCAAGCAAAAACUUUUUACUUUCAACUUGUAAUAUGCGCAAAAAGCAUUAAAUAGCGCGCCUCUUGUAAUCUAGCCCUAUAUAUCUUAUAAACCUUUUUGUAACACUCUGUCACUCUGAAGAGAAUAAAGUUCUGCCGAUGCCUUGAACCUUGA